rnacentral:lncRNA from 1 species
UAUAAUAAUAGAAAUGAUGCUACCUUCUUGGUUUAAAUUUUUGCAUAUGGCCAUCUCCGUCUCCUCCUUCUGCAAGUUUGGAGGUGAGUUACAUGUCCUUUUUCUUUGUGUAUCUUGUAAUUUAUUAUCUAUAGGUUGGAAUGUUUGUCAACCUAAUCUACUCACCGUUGGUGUUUACGUAAAUAUCUACUUUUUAAAACUUAUGUAAAUUCUAAUAAUGAAAUUCGCAUUCUAUAUUGUUAAGUCACUAUCUUGAAAGAUUUUUAUAUCGUAUGUGAGCUAAGGAUUGUUAUUUAUAGCGCUCGGCUUAUAUGUAGAGGUUUUAUUUUAUUUUUUUAAUUCAAAUAUGGUUAAUUAUAUAUGGUUUAGUUGAUGUUCCCUAUGCAUGCAGUGUGGUAAGACCAACUUCCAUGAAAGAACAUGUCCCUAAGAACUUACUCUUGGAGGUUAUGUGGUACAUAUGCAACGUAUGGAGUUGUUUAGGAUGGGAUCAACUUCUGAAGUUCUAUAGACCACAUAGACGAGGAUUCCCCUUGCAUAGAUGCCAUAUUCAGGCCGACCCUUACCCAAGACAAUCUAAUAGGAAAAUUACCUAGAAACCUACAUUUAAAGACUAAUUUUCAAAAAUAAGGAUGAUUAAUUUUCAUUUCACAAAUCAGGUGUUAAUUAGAUUUAAUAAUUAAUGAAAAUUUAACUAAACCAACGUACCACCGCUCAUUCCACCCAUUUCCUUCCCAAAUCCAAGCCCCAGAUAUUUUCAUUUUCCCACCUCUCUCUCUCUACAACCACCCACCUAACCAUCUCCCUUUUCGACACAGUGAAGCCCAUUCCAUCCCUAUUUCAUUCCCAAAUCCAAGCCCCAUAUAUUUUCAUUUUCCCACAUCUUUUUUCGCCCUAUCCUCUCUCUCUCUCUCUCUUUCUCUACCACCACCUACCCAACCAUCUCCCUUUUCGACGCAGUGAAG